UUCUAAAUCACAAACCCAUAUCUACAAUAUUUCUCAAAAAAAUGAAAACUUUCCAAAAAUAGCAGUUCUAAUGAAAAUUAUUUAAAAAUACAAACAAUUGAUGAAAAUUUCAGAAAGUAUACUCAUCUAUCCACAAAUAUUCUUGUUAUCCUAAUUUCUAAAUCACAAACGCUAAUCUAGAGUAUUUCCCUAAAAAAUGAAAACUUUUCAAAAAUAGCAGUUUUUAAGAAAAUUAUUUAAAAAUACAAGCUAUAGAUGAAAAAUUCAGAAAGAAUACUCAUCUAUCCACAAAUAUUCUUGUUAUCCUA
rnacentral:lncRNA from 1 species